AUUGAACGCUGGCGGCAUGCUUUACACAUGCAAGUCGAACGGCAGCGCGGGGCAACCUGGCGGCGAGUGGCGAACGGGUGAGUAAUAUAUCGGAACGUACCCAGAAGUGGGGGAUAACGUAGCGAAAGUUACGCUAAUACCGCAUACGAUCUACGGAUGAAAGGGGGGGACCUUCGGGCCUCAUGCUUUUGGAGCGGACUAUAUCUGAUUAGCUGGUUGGGGAGGUAAGGGCUCACCAAGGCGACGAUCAGUAGCUGGUCUGAGAGUACGAACAGCCACACGGGGACUGAGACACGGCCCAGACUCCGACGGGAGGCAGCAGUGGGGAAUUUUGGACAAUGGGCGCAAGCCUGAUCCAGCAAUGCGGCGUGAGUGAAGAAGGCCUUCGGGUUGUAAAGCUCUUGUGUCAGGGAAGAAACGGCCGAGGAUAAUACCUUCGGCUAAUGACGGUACCUGAAGAAUAAGCACCGGCUAACUACGUGCCAGCCGCCGCCGUAA
rnacentral:rRNA from 1 species